CCAAAACAUAUCUCCUUGGUUCCACAUCUUUAUUCUUUUGUUGGCCCAUUCUUUAUGGGCCUUUUUGUUCAGACUUCCCAAGCAGCUGUGUUAUAAAAGAGGGAAAGAAAAGAAUCUCAAACAUUUUAGUCUCUUCUUCCCACGUAGUCUCUUACCAGAUGGAUGAUGUCUUACAGGUGCUGCAGGCCCUGACAAAGUAUACCUGUGCUCUCAAGUCAAAUAAUCAAGUAUCUACUAAGUUUGGGACACUAUGUUAGGAAUUACAGUGGCCAUGAGGGAACAAGGUUGAGAACUAUAGUUAAUAUAUGGCAACGGUUCUCAAUCUUCAAAAUCAAAAUCAAUUGGAGGGCUUUCCUUUUUAUUUACUUUUAAUUGGAGGAUAAUUAUCCUCGUGUUAGGUUCUGCCAUGCUGCUGCUGUUCAGUCGAGUCUUGACUCUCUUGUGACCCCAGUCCAUGGCUCUGUGACCCUGCCAGGCUCUUCUGUCCAUGGAAUCUUUCAAGCAAGAAUACUGGAGUGAGUUGCCACUUCCUUCUUCAGGGAUCUUCCUGACCCAGGGUAUCUCCUGCAUUAACAAGUGGAUUCUUCACCACUGUGCCACCUGGGGAGCCAUACAUCAACAAUAAUCAGCCAUAAAUAUACAUAUGUCCCCUCCCUCUCAACCUCUUGGAGGGCUUAUUAAAACAAAGAUUGUAGAGCACCUCACCCCUAAGCUUCUGAUUCAGUAAGUAGUAACAAAUUCAUCGCCAAAAGCAUGCUAACAACAGUUUGCAAACUUUGACUUACAAUUUACAUCUCAGAUGCCAGCAUCAGAAAAGGCAUAACGGGCUACUGUUGCUGAAAGAAAAAAAGUGAAGUUGCUCAGUCGUGUCCCAUUCUUUGCAACCCCAUGGACUGAAGCCUGCCAAGCUCCUCCAUCCAUGGAAUUUUCCAGGCAAGGAUACUGGAGUGGAUUGCCAUUUCCUUCUCCAGGAGAUCUUCUUGACCCAGAGAUCAAACCUAGGUCUCCUGCAC
ensembl:lncRNA